AUUGUAGCCUUGGCAGCAGCACUCCUGGCAGCCGACAUUGCUGCCGAAGAGAUAACAGCAAGUGGAGGAGGUGGAACUGGCAGCGGAUGCCCGGACACCACAGCAUGCACCAAAAGCUGCAAGAAACAGGGCUACAGCAUUGGAAUCUACCUUGAGCCCCUACUUACCAUCUGUGCGUGCUUGUAAUACUGAGCCGAUCAGACCGCUGAGUUGCAAUAAAUGUUUACCGCGUUGAC